GAUAAUAACUUUUGUGGAACAGGGACCUUGUAAGAGUACUGGAAACUUGCAGUGCCGGAAGAGUGUGAUUCGAAGUGUGCUCAAGUCAGCAGUUGAGAGAGCUUCAGUAUCCCAAGUGUGGUAUCUUGUGCUGCAGUGUCGAGCAAUGUUCCUCCGUUCUGAUUUCGUGUUUUUUAAUUUAUUUUUUGUUUUGUUUUGUUUUGUUUCCUAUUCCGAACCAGAUUGGAACAGACUUAGAGUGCUCUUGUACUUGUAAUCUUCUGAUUCAAUUAGUGAAAAAUCCUAGCAACCUCGUGGACGUAGCUCAAUUAUGAGUGAACCACGUAAAAUUGUGGUGUUGGAUUUGUGUGUGAAUGUUUGUUUCUUCUUUUGAUUCU
rnacentral:lncRNA from 1 species